rnacentral:rRNA from 1 species
UACGUAGGGUCCGAGCGUUGUCCGGAAUUACUGGGCGUAAAGAGCUCGUAGGUGGUUUGUCGCGUUGUUCGUGAAAACUCACAGCUUAACUGUGGGCGUGCGGGCGAUACGGGCAGACUGGAGUACUGCAGGGGAGACUGGAAUUCCUGGUGUAGCGGUGGAAUGCGCAGAUAUCAGGAGGAACACCGGUGGCGAAGGCGGUUCUCUGGGAAUAUUCUGACGCUGAGGAGCGAAAGUGUGGGGAGCGAACAGG